rnacentral:rRNA from 1 species
AAAAGGACUCUCGGCAACGGAUAUCUAGGCUCUCGCAUCGAUGAAGAACGUAGCGAAAUGCGAUACUUGGUGUGAAUUGCAGAAUCCCGCGAAUCAUCGAGUUUUUGAACGCAAGUUGCGCCCGAAGCCAUUCGGCCGAGGGCACGUCUGCCUGGGUGUCACGC